UCUCUCGUAGCUUAGUGGUCAGAGCAUUGGCGCGUAAAGCCAAAAGAGCCCGGGUUCGAUUCUCGGCCGGGGGUG
rnacentral:tRNA from 1 species